GAGCGGGACCCGCGUGCAGCCAGGCGCAAAGGAGUGAGUCCUCUGCCCCAGGGCGGGCCUGUGAAUGCCAAGGGGAAGGUACUCUCAACCAAACACUGCAACCCAGAGGAAUGGAGCCCGCCUUCGCAAAUAAGCUGCGUGGUGGGCAGAAGCCGAGUUGGGCUGGUAGGGUGGAAGGAAACAAAUGGUUCAAAGUGGCUCCUAAACUGUAGUUCUUUCCAGCUCCCCACCCCCGAAGACCUAAGUUAAGAAAGCAUCCUUCAAUGCAGAAACAGUGGUAUAAAAUAUGGCAUGCUUUCUUGAUCUCAUACACCUUAGUCACCAAGAGACUUUAAAUCUGGCUGGAUGGAACUGCCACUCACCGCUAGAAAUCGGGGAUCAACAGCAAACUCUGGAUGACCCUGUAACCACAUCUCCAGCUCCGCCCGGCGAGGGGCCUCAUCACCCACCAGCAAAGUACCAUCCACCUUAUUGAUGACAGGGAUCCGGGUCUCCAGGUCCAGAUCAAGUGCUGGAGCUGGAGCUGGAUGAAGAUGAAGAAGAAGAGGAUGAUGGUGACAACUUGCUCAAGUCCAGCUCAGAGUCUGAAUCAUCCUC